UACGUAGGGUGCGAGCGUUAAUCGGAAUUACUGGGCAUAAAGCGUGCGCAGGCGGUUCGUUAAGUUCGAUGUGAAAGCCCCGGGCUCAACCUGGGAACUGCAUUGGAAACUGGCGAGCUUGAAUGCGGCAGAGGGGGGUGGAAUUCCGCGUGUAGCAGUGAAAUGCGUAGAGAUGCGGAGGAACACCGAUGGCGAAGGCAGCCCCCUGGGCCGACAUUGACGCUCAGGCACGAAAGCGUGGGGAGCAAACAGG
rnacentral:rRNA from 1 species